GACAGCGAACACGGCUGGGUGCGGGCAGACUCGUGCUGCGGCCGGCGGCGGCUGUGCCCGGGAAGCACGAGGGCAGCCGGCCGCAGCAGCGCCUGCUUCAGUGCGGAGGCAGCAGAGACCGAGGGCGUGGCGGUGACAAGCUGGUUUUGCGGUGAAGCAGGGAAGCAGGACCACGGGGACGAAAAGGCGAGGAGGAGGGAGAAGGGUUGAGCGGACCCUACAGGCCAGCGCCCGCUCCCCCCAAGGUAGCUUUGGAUUGCUGUGAAGGCAGCUCUCAGAGGGAAGCCAUGGGCAAUAUGCUCAGGAAGGUGGAUGAAGUGAAGACCCUGAAAGUGGAAACUUCUGGGGGCUGUGAAAGGAUACUUCCCUGGACUCCAGCUUCUGCCAGACAACUUGGUGGCAAGUUUAAACAUCUCUGAUGGUAAAGUGUCCAUCAGUGAGAGCACAGCCACUGAGAUCAUUCUGCGCAUGGCAAGCUGAUCUUCAGGGCAUCCAGCAAAGAGAGGACCUGAAGGGCUCGGCUUUGGGGGAAGCAGGGCUCAGGGAAGCAGUGAAAGAGCUCAUAGGUUUUCCACCCACUGGAGGCUUCCUGCUGGAAAUGGAGUUUGCCCUCCUCCUCUUGGCUGAAAUAAGGUCCCCUGCUGACUCACCCCAGCCCUCCAACCACAUUCCCCUGGUCUGCCAUGACCCAGAUCUUCUUCCAACAGCAUGGGCUUUGGGAAGAGGCUUCAAGGAACAUGUGCCUGCCCAUGCUCUGCUCUCUGUAGAGAUGUGUAGAGGCCCAUCUGGAAAGUCUACAGCUGCAGGUAAAUAGUUUUCAUUCUGGCCUUCUGCAAGAGUCACAAGGAGAGCUCUGUGCUGAGUAGAAGAUGGGGGGGUUAACUGGAAAAAAACCUUUGGCAAUUACAAGUGAGGGGGUUGUUCCCUUUAUCCAACUUGUGUUCUUUUUAUUUUUUCCAGCUCAGAGAGUCCAGUGGGACAUUGCUUAGACCGGAGCUGCCCCAUCUGUUCAUCCUUAAUGCCAUACUAGCAUCACCUUGGUUUAGUACAUUGCACUUCAGACCUGAAGUUGCUUCUUUAGUCUCUGAGCAUGUAAAGCUGUUAUUAUUGAGCUGUGCGGUAGAUAGGGUCUUUCUCCAGCAGGAUUAUAGAUGAUGGUGACUUUGGUGGCACUCAGGAGCAGGUCAGAUGAUCCCCAUGGUGCGUGUGAACUCCUGUUUAUCCCCACUGUGUUCCCCUUGCUACACAGCCGGUCUCUGUGAGCAGUGAAAUCCCUCUGCAGAGGGCUGGAGGGCUGGAGGGAAUUCCCUCCAGCCUCUCACACAGACUAACCCAGAUAAUCCUUUGCUAUCUGCCACAUCUCAGUAGAUCUAUUAAAUACACACGAGUUCUUGUGUCUUUGUGUGUAACCAGGAUAUGCUCAAAGAUUUCAAAUCCCCCAGUGUAGGAUUCUUAUCAAAGUUUUGGUCAAAGUCUAAAUAAAUACACCCCUUGUACUCA
rnacentral:lncRNA from 1 species